UACGGGGGGGGCAAGCGUUGUUCGGAAUUACUGGGCGUAAAGGGUGCGUAGGCGGCUUUCUAAGUUGGAUGUGAAAACUCUGGGCUCAACCCAGAACCUGCAUCCAAAACUGGAGAGCUAGGGUUCUGGAGGGGAAAGCGGAAUUCCUGGUGUAGCGGUGAAAUGCGUAGAUAUCAGGAGGAACACCGGUGGCGAAGGCGGCUUUCUGGACAGAUACCGACGCUGAGGCACGAAAGCUAGGGGAGCAAACAGG
rnacentral:rRNA from 1 species